GCCUGUUUAUCAAAAACAUGUCCUUUUGGUUAUAAUUUAAGGUCUGACCUGCCCAAUGAUUGUAUUAAAUGGCCGCGGUAUUCUGACCGUGCAAAGGUAGCAUAAUCAUUAGUUUUUUAAUUGAAAGCUGGAAUGAACGGUUUGACAAGAAAAUUACUGUCUCGGCUAAAUAAUUAGAAUUUUAUUUUUUAGUUAAAAAGCUAAAAUACUUUUAUGGGACGAGAAGACCCUAUAGAAUUUUAUAAUUUUUUUAUGGUUAGGAUUUUAGUUUAAUUAGACUAAUUAUUAGAGAAUUAAUUUAUUGGGGUGAUAGGAAAAUUUAUGAAGCUUUUCUUUAAUAUUUACAUUUAUUUGUGUUUAUAUGAUCCAUUUUUUAUGAUUAUAAGAUUAAAUUACCUUAGGGAUAACAGCGUUAUUAAUUUGGAGAGUUCUUAUCGAUAAAUUGGUUUGCGACCUCGAUGUUGGAUUAAAAUUUAUUUUUGGUGUAGAUGCUGAAGUAUUAAGUCUGUUCGACUUUUAAAAUUUUACAUGAUCUGAGUUCAGACCGG
rnacentral:rRNA from 1 species